UGACUCCUGAAUGAUUUGCAGAUGGAUGGACGUCAUGUGACUGUACCUGACGGAUCAUCAUCCUCUCUUCAGAUAUUCACCUUCAUUGUCAGCAGACGUACACAGACCGCCGCUGUCCACACUGCUGUCCAGAUCCUCUGACAGAAGCGAGCUGUUCGCUGAGAGAACGGGAGAGAGGACUGGCAUAGUCUCUGAACGUGACUGUUCCCCUCCUCAACAGUCUCGACUGACAUGGCUUCUGAAACACACACACAGGUAAUCAAUACAGUUAAAUUAAAAGGAUCUCUCUU